GCAAAGGAAGAAGAAGAAGAAGAAAAAUACUGGAGUUGGCAUAUUAUUCAUGUCCACGAAUAUCAAAAUCAGAAUCUCUUAUUUCUGAUUUUUGUGAUUUCUCUUUUUCUUCUUCUUUCUCUCAUUGCUGCUUAUGGAAUCAUGGUCAGAAUUAGAUGGGUCGUCGGAAAAUUGUCGACUAAAAUAGGUCGUCUGAAGUUUGGGGUUGAGCAAUUUGAAGAGUC
rnacentral:lncRNA from 1 species